rnacentral:rRNA from 1 species
GGGUCAGUAGGUUGGUCGUGCCACCGGUACGUACUGGUCUCACUGAUUCCUCCUUCCUGAAGAACCGUAAUGCCAUUAAUUUGGUGUCGCGGGGAAACAGGACUGUUACUUUGAAAAGAUUAGAGUGUUUAAAGCAAGCUAACGCUUGAAUACAUUAGCAUGGAAUAAUGAAAUAGGACGAUCGAUCCUAUUUUGUUGGUUUCUAGGAUUGACGUA